AUUGAACGCUGGCGGCAUGCUUUACACAUGCAAGUCGAACGGUAACAGGCCGCAAGGUGCUGACGAGUGGCGCACGGGUGAGUAAUGCAUCGGAACGUGCCCAGUCGCGGGGGAUAACUACUCGAAAGAGUAGCUAAUACCGCAUACGAUCUAUGGAUGAAAGCGGGGGACCGUAAGGCCUCGCGCGAUUGGAGCGGCCGAUGUCAGAUUAGGUAGUUGGUGGGGUAAAGGCUCACCAAGCCAACGAUCUGUAGCUGGUCUGAGAGGACGACCAGCCACACUGGGACUGAGACACGGCCCAGACUCCUACGGGAGGCAGCAGUGGGGAAUUUUGGACAAUGGGCGCAAGCCUGAUCCAGCAAUGCCGCGUGCAGGAAGAAGGCCUUCGGGUUGUAAACUGCUUUUGUACGGAACGAAACGGCUCUGGUUAAUACCCGGGGCUAAUGACGGUACCGUAAGAAUAAGCACCGGCUAACUACGUG
rnacentral:rRNA from 1 species